UACGUAGGUCCCGAGCGUUGUCCGGAUUUAUUGGGCGUAAAGCGAGCGCAGGCGGUUUGAUAAGUCUGAAGUAAAAGGCUGUGGCUUAACCAUAGUAUGCUUUGGAAACUGUCAAACCUGAGUGCAGAAGGGGAGAGUGGAAUUCCAUGUGUAGCGGUGAAAUGCGUAGAUAUAUGGAGGAACACCGGUGGCGAAAGCGGCUCUCUGGUCUGUAACUGACGCUGAGGCUCGAAAGCGUGGGGAGCAAACAGG
rnacentral:rRNA from 1 species